AUGUUAACCUCGGUGAGAUGGAGUGUCAUGCGCAAACCCCAGGUUCCUAUCUCAAAGGUCAAGGUCACAUAGGUCAAAGGUCAAAUUCAAAAAUGACUUUGUCCGGAGCAUUUCUUCUUCAUGCAUGGAGGGAUUUUGAUUUAACUUGGCACAAUUGUUCAUCAUCAUGAGACGGAGUGUCAUGCGCAAGAUCCUAGAAUUACUUCCCUUUGUUGUUGCUAUAAAUAGCUUAUAUUCGUAACUUUUUUAUUACUGGUCGUAAGGAAAAAUCAAGACCACUUUUCUGUAGUACAACAUGCAUGUUACAUCCGAUUUUCAGAUGUAUUGUGACCUUGUGAUCUUUGUGUGGACUUAUUUUUUUUUAAGAUUUACGUCCCUUUGUUGUUACUUUAAAUAACUUUUAUUGUAACUUUUUGCAGUAUCUUUUUUAUUUGGCAUAAAUGUUUGCCUCAGUGAGACAAGGAGUGUCAUGUGCAACUCCCAGUCCUUUUGACAGCUGGCGGGCUCGACAUGUUGCCCGUGGGCAUCUAGUUUAAUGAUUGUACAUGUUUAUCCCCACUUCUGCUGUUGUUAGUAACUUCAGUAGUCUUAAGUAAUUUUUUUAUAAAAUGUAGAAAAACAGUCGAUUCACUGACUGCCUUAAGGCAUAACUGAAUCACUGUCUGAACUGCUGUUAAACCCAUAUAUGUGACGUCGUCUUUGAAAACCGGUCCAGAUACGGCAUGACGUAAUAUCGAGAAACGACGUUUAAAGUUGCGCCAAGUUUACGCGCGCAGCUUUCUUACACAUGUUUUAAUUAGCAAAAGUUUGACCAACCAGUACGACUGCUUGUUACAUGAUUCAUAACAGCCUACUAGAGAAAGAAUAUUUAGACAUCAGACCUGUAAAAAAAUAGAGGUAUUACGCCUGAGGCAAAAUAUUUCGUUCAAAAUCAGUUGUUUCCCCCAUCAAUAUGUUUCCGGUUUCGGAUUUUAUCAGGGAAGCGUGUGAAGUUUGCUUUUGUUUAUUUACCUUUUGUUCAACGAUGAAGGGAUCUGAGACUUGUAAUACUGUUUAGUGAUUUGAUAAUAUUCCUUGUUCCUUUGAUGGUUCAUUCCACUACAGCUGGUUCAUAUACCCUACAAUAGCCAGGAUAUUGGUCUGCUUACUUUAAGAUCUCAAGAAAAUGUAACAUAUUUUGGAUGUGCUUUGAGGAAUCAGGAAGGCAAGUGUUUCCUCUUGUUUAUGAAAGCAACUCAUUUGGUUAAGGGGAAGACAACUUGUGAGCAUGGUACAUCACUACCUGUAUUGGUAUUCCAUUUUGACAAUGCUGCUAGCUAGAAUAGAAAUAACAUCUUGCUGUGGUAUGGUCUGUGGAGAGUUUUACUAGGUAACAACCAUUUUUGAUAGCUGUUAAAACAGUGUAUACUUUUAACCCUUAGGCUGCAUGAGGCAGCUAUGUCUGCCUUUGCAACCAGUGCAGAUCAAGAUCAACCUGCACAUCUGUGCAGUCUGAUCAUGAUCUGCAGUGUUUGAUACUUAGUCAGCAAAUUUUCUAUUAGAACCCCCUAUAAGCUAUAAAUGGUACUGUCUCUAUUUAAAGAUGGAGUAGUCCAUUUUACAAAUUUAGCAGGUUAAUGGUUAACACAAAAAAUGUGUUUUAGAAGUUUGAAUCUGACUUGCACUUUUGAAUUUAGAAGAAUCUGUGGAGGAGGGUGAAUGCUGAGACCUUUAAUAAUACAUGAUAUUGCUGACACAGUGUGUCAGUCAUCAAAGAAAUGUCAUAACAACACAGUUGGUCAACAGUGAUUUAGAUCCUGUCACAUUCUACCAGUGGAGAAAUAUCUUAUCACAAUAUUUGUAACUUUUGAAGAAGAUAACCAAGUAUUACCACUUUAUCAUGUCUGCAGAAACACCUGAAUUGUUAGUCUUAAAAGUGACAGUCCAGUUAACUUACUAAAAUCUACUCCCCUUGCCAAACAAAUAUUAUUGACAUGGAAUGACACAAGCCUGACAAUGGUACCUGUAUGAACUCAUAAGAGAAUAGUAUUUGUCUGAAAAGUCAAAGGAUUCUGUUUGUCCCAAACCACUUGAUCUGAAAUUGGAUUGUCAAGGAUUUUUCUGAGAACUGAAAAAAGGAAGUGAAUAUAAAAGAUAGAAAUUGUUGUUGAAUUCAAACGUUUUAAUAUACAACACUUUAGCCUGUUUUGCUGUUCAUAUAGAUGUGUUUAGCUGUUAAGGUUAAACAUCAAGUAAAGGAUGUAGUUUCAGUUACCUACAUUAAAGUAUUGGCUGGAAAUAAAUAUUUACUUUUCACUAGAGCUUGUAGCAGUGUAACCUUCAUCUAAAGUUAAGCUGUUGUAUUAAUUAUUAAAGUAUUUUUAGAAAAAGGAAUUUAGUAUGUAUGUUGCCAUGGUAACAUAAUUCAGAUUAUAUUUCAUUGAAAUUAUGGAUUUGUAUUUCAAUAUGGGAUCUACAGUAUAUAAUGUAAUGGUAAAAGAAUGCUCACUUUCUUCAGUAUUGUCAGUUAUAACUAGCCAGUGAAAAAAACAGAUUAUGAGGAAAGGGAUGACUGAAAUGUUUAUUCUUACGAUAACUACUUCUGUUACAGAACAUGACUGUUUUAAAGUUUUUAUGUGAAAAUUUCAGAUUUCUUUCCUGAAUACUUGUACUUUCAAAUAUUUAACUUAUUAGAAAUACUUUUUAAAAUAAGCUCUUGUUUUUAAGUAUUAUUGUAGGAAAAGGGAAUUUAAAACAUAUGUCGCCAUGGUAACACAAUUUUCUUAGAAAAUGUGGAAAAUGUUUAGUUAGCUGUACUUUCUAGUAUUCCAGAUAAGCAUAAACAAUAAAAAAUCAAUAGUAAUAUAUAUUUCAUUUAUUUCAAAAUAGUCAUUUAUUACCAGCAGGUAAAAGGCAAGUUAUGAAGAAACAAUGACAGAAAUGUCUUAUUCUUAUAGUUAUUACUCAUGUUACAAACACUGUCAUAAAACAAAACAUUUUAAUUUUUUUAACAUGGAAUCUUGAGAUAAUAUUUUUGAAUACAUACCACUUUAUAAUAUUCAAGUUAUCUGAAACACUUUUCCAAAUUUAGCUCGUUUUUAAAGUAUUAUUGUAGAAAACAGAAUCAGAUGCAUAUGUUGCCAUGGUAACAUAAUUUAAUAAUGUUUUUAUAGAAAAUGUGAAGGACUUUAGCCAGCUAGAUGUUUGCACUUUAAGUGAAUAUCUAAAUAUUCUUUGUAAAAGAAGAUUCAUUUAUUUAAAAAUAGCCAGUGAUUACCAAUAAGUGAAAACACAAACUGAAGAAACAACGACUGAAAUAGUGUAUUUCCCGUGUUACGAAAUCUGUCAUGAAACCAAACAUUUUAUAUCUUUUCACAUAAAAUUUUCAAAUUUUACUUUUGAAUACAUAAACCUGUAAAUAUUCAACUUAUAAGAAACAUUAUUAAGCUUUUGUUUUUAAGUACUGUGGUAGAAAAAGCAAUUUAUUGCAUAUGUUGCCAUGAUAACGCAAUCUGAAUAAUGUUUUCAUAGAAAACAUGAAAGACUUAAAUUAGCUGUAUUUUUCUGUUUUAAGUAAGCAUCACAAAAAUAAAAUUUCAUAGUAAUAGAAGGUUCUUUUUUUCCAAGGUAGUCAUUUAUUACAAGCAUGUAAAAGACAAGUUAUGAAGAAACAAUGACAAAUCUAUCUUAUUCUUGUGGUUAUUACCCAUGUUACAAAAACUGUCAUAAAACCAACAUUCUAAAUAUUUUCAUGGGAAAUUUUCAGUUUAUUUUUGUAAAUACAUAUACCUUAAAAUUUUUUGCUUUUAAAAAUCCUUAUGUCAAGCGAACAUGUUUUUUUUUAAAGUUUUAUCAUAGAAAAGGGAUUUUAAUAUAUUUGUUGCCAUGGUAACACAAUUUUAGAAAUAUUUUUAUAGAAAUUGUUGAUUUUAAUUGAUUAUCAUUUUGUGUAUUAAGAAGGGAUCUUACUUAUAUCAUGCAAUUGUAACAAAGGAUAUAUUUAUUUCAGAAUUGUUAGCCAUUACCAGUAUGUGAGAAAUAAACUAGAAAGAAAGGAUAACUGAAAUGUACUGUUUUCAAUUUUAAUAUCUAUGUUACAAAAUCUGUCAUAAAAUUGACAAUUUUGAAGAUUUUCAUCUGAAAUUUUCAGGAUUUAUUUCGGAAUGAAUAUACUUUCUAAAUAUGCAAAAACCUGAAAAUGUCAAAAUUCCUCAUAUGGACCCAUUUUCUCAGUCAUGGUCACAUAUAAUGAAUAAAACGAAAAACUUGAUUAUAUAAUGAUAUAAAGAUAAAUCAAACUUACAACCUGUAAGCCACUGGGUGAAUGUAAUAUUUUCUGGUAUAUUAUAACGAAUUUGAAGUGACACUUAUUACUGUGUGUAUAUAGUUGUCUUUAAAAUUAUUGAUGUCAUAAUAAUAUAAAUUGUACUUUUUUAGCUCACCUGAGCCAAACGGUCAUGGUGAGCUUUUGUGACAGCUCAAUGUGCGGCGUGCGGCCGUCAACAAUUUCUAAAAAAAUCUCCUUCUUGAAAACCACUAAGCAGAAUUACACCAAACUUCACAGGAAUGAUCCUUGGAUGACCCCCUUUUCAAAUUAUUCAAAAAAACUUAAUUCCAUGCAGAACUCUGGUUGCCAUGGCAACCGAAAGAAAAAACUUUAAAAAUCUUAUUGUCCAAAACCACAAGGCGUAGAGCCUUGAUAUUUGGCAUGUGACAUCAUCUUAUGGUCCUCUAUGAAGAUUGUUCAAAUUAUGCCCCUGGGGUGAAAAGAGGCCCCUCCCUGGUGGUCACAAGUUUUACAUAGACUUAUAUAGGAAAAAAAAAUAAAAAUCUUCUUGCCUAAAACCACAAGACCUAGGCCUUUGAUAUUUGGUAUGUUGCAUUACCUUGUGGUCCUUUACCAAAAUUGUUCAAAUUAUGCCCCUGGGGGGGAAAAGAGGCCCAGCCCUGGGGGUCCUAAAUUUAGACUUAUAUAGGGAAAAAAAUCUUCUAGUCCAAAAGUUCAAGGCCAAGGCCUUUGAUAUUUGGUAUGUAACAUUGCCUAGUGGAUCUCUAACAAGAUUGUUCAAAUUAUGAAAAGAGGCCCCGUCCUGGGGGUCAGUUGUUAUAUGAGUUAUAUAGGAAUAAAUACUUAAAAAAUUAUCAGAUCAUAUCUCCUAGACUGUUUAAUUAUAAUUACCAGAUGAACCCAGGUGAUUAGGGGUCACUUGACCGUGACCUUGAUCUAUUGAUCUACUUUCUUGUUUUUUAAGAUACAGUCUUGAAAUUUGGAUGACAUGCACAAUUUUGCACACCGAUCUUAAAACUGACUUUCAGUGACCAUGAAUGUGACUUACUCCCCUGCUUUGUAACAUUUUAGCAUCAGUUUGGCAUUUAAAACAUGUGGCUCAUAUUACUCAGGUGAGCGAUUCAGGGUCAUCAUGACCCUUUUGUUUCUAUUUUAGGAUUAAAUUUGGUGCACUGGGAUGAUUCAAAACAAAUCUUCAAAUUGACAAUGGCAAAAAGCAAGUUGAAAUGGAAUACUGCAGUUGAUGAAAAUGGUUAGCAUGGAUUUUUUUUGCCUGUGAAAAGUGCAGAGGUCUAUACACUACUGGUGUGUUCUUUGAGACUGUUCUUAUUUCUAGCAGACUUUAUUAUGCCCCCUUCGAAAGAGGGUUAUAUAUUGUUUUACUGAUGUCGGUCUGUCUGUCAGUCUGCAGACAAAUUGGUUUCUAGAUGAUACAUUUAUAACGCAAGAAUGCUUGGGCCUAGGAUCAUGAAAGUUGAGAGGGAGAUUGGUCAUGACCAGCAAAUGACCCCUAUUGAUUUUGAGAUCAGUAGGCGGAAGGAAAAGGUCACGGUGACCCGGAAUAGUUAAACCAUUUCCGGA